GCCACGUCUUCCUGGCUGCAAUUUUACUUUGUACAAUUGCAGAACCUCAAAAGACAUGGUCCUGUUUGUCCAUACUGCCAUCUGUGCCACAAAGACAUACAAGCCCAUAUUUUCCUAUCUGUUAUAGCUAGCACAGUGAGAUCUGGUUAUUUCCUAAUCUUGCAUUAAACUCAUUCACUGAAGGAGAAGAAGGAAUAGCUAGCAUGCCACCAGAGGAGGUCCUGGUGCAGGGUGCAGGUGGUGUCGUUUCAGGAGGCCCCACCAUCCCAGAAGGAUCUUCACAUACCUCACCAGUUGUUUGGCCUUCUACAUCCAGAGCCCCAUACCUGCUGUAAAAGGUACCAGUCCUACUUGCCAAAUUCAGAGAAAGAGGAACCUUCUUGCUGGUAUGUGCUGUGAUGUGCCUCCAGCCUUCAUCUUUAACAGACCCCUGGCUAAUUUAACAGUCCUUUGACUAAUUACCCUGCAGUGUUCUGAGUCCAUCUGCUUCUUUACCACAAUGGAGGUUCAAGACUCCUGGGAUCCUGAGACUGUAGCAUUGCUGAAAAUAGCCAGUCUAUCUCUUGCUCAUUCUCUUGGAUACUGCAUAGAGUGUUCACUUUUUCCUGUAGCUCCACCUGCAAUACAGCUCCUCAAAUACAGCACGCUUUCUGCAAAAUAGCGCUUUGUCAUCCCAACUUUCGAAAGAAGCUUCAGGCGCUCCUGGCAACCUGUGACCUGGAGAGCUACAUCUGCCAUCAGCAGGCCUGGCUGGCUGGAGGUCUCUGACAUGGCCAGGCCAGUGACCCUGGCAGCCACAGGGGAUCGAGCUUGAUGGCAUGUCAACACCACAACUAAGAAAGCUAAACACUGCAGCUAAAAGCAUCUCUUUGCUCUUCCUUACUGGGUACUUAAUCCAUUUUCUGCCUCUAUUGGCUCCACACAAAUAGCUGGAGAGGAGCCCUUCCUGUGUGAACUGCUGUGCGAACUGAUGUGCCGCACUCCAGCUUGUUCCUGCACCUUGGAACCAUUUAAAUCAUCCAUCAUUAAGUUGUAUUUUUCAUUUUAUAUUUAUGUUUCAGAAAAAAAGUUGGUCUUCAUUCCAUUUAUCACUGUCAUUAUUUCUAAAAGACUGAAUGGUCUCAUUGAACUCAAAUUGAGACACUACUGAAGUUCAAUGACAUAGAGAGAGGCAUCUGCUGGAAAUUUUGUUCUUGUAACAGAUACUAUUUCAGCACUGAGAACAACACCAAGGACUUGAGUCUAUAUGUCUUUCACAUUUAGAAUUCCUUCCAAAGUCAGGGGAAAUCUUAAUGAAGCAGAAAAGUGUAAUAGUAUAAUUAUUCAUCUGCUGGAAAAUAGCAUAUUAUUCUAACACCUAUUAAAAUUGAUACCUUUGUAAGUUUCUAUCUCAACAAUUUUGAAAGCAGUAAAAUAUGUGCAGGAAUUGUUAAGUAUUUUUUCUUUUCUGAAUAAUAAAAUUUUGCCCUUAGAAGUUUACAGAAAGUCAAAUACUAGGCAAAUAUUUUCUCCAUACUGUGGUAUCCAUCCUUCUACACUGUUUUUGUAAAUAAAAAUAUAGGAAAUUAUGAAAAAAACCUACUAAAUAAAAUUUGGUGUGUCAAUUCACUUAUAUUUUAAAAAGAACUUUAACUGACACUAAAUCAAAGCAUUUUAUCUUGUGAUUUAUUGGCAGUGCAACAUGUUGACUUUCAAGUGACGUCUUUUUCUCCUGAACUGGACAAGAGAAAAGAUGCUCUGAAAUUACACCUAGAUGUGAAUAACUCCGGUACUUCUCACUCAUUCAUUCUUAACAAUUAGUGUUAUUUAUUGUAAAUAUUAAAAUGAGGACUUGUGGUGAAAGAGUCUGCAAGUAACUUUUCCAUUUUCUGACUAAUAUAUCAUCUCUAGAAGACAGCAAAUGGAGUGAGGCAACAAUCACUUCGUUCAUCAUAUUGUAUGCAUGGGAGUGUCUCUCUCUCUCUCUUGUCUCCAGUACAGCUCUGCCAGGAUGGGGCUAUGACUCAGAACUCUGAAAAGUAGAUAUCAUCAUGCUAGCUAUCACAAAUGACCCACUCUUUUUUUUUAGGAAGCCAUUUUUAUCAAAGUCUGUAGUGUAAGCUACUAGAUCCUUGUAGAAGCUGGUUACAGAAAAAUUUCUGUAAAGGCUGUCUCCUGUUUCCGAGGGAUGUUGUGCUUCUGUUCAGAACAAAGAGAAGGUGUGGUCCUUCCCAAACACCUGAUUUUACUGUAAUAUUUAAUAUUGUAACUAUGGACUUAGUUAUUAUUAUUACCUUAUUGAUAACCCCACCCAUGUGCAUUUCUAGAUCCUGUUUAUGUGUAAUAAUGAUUGGAGUUAGAAAUGUCUGAUUCUGCUAAACACAUGACCCUUAACCUUCACCUUGAAAUGUUUUGUUGUCACGCUUAGCUUUGAGCAUGUGAGUCCAAAGUAUACCUGUAUUUUGGCUCUAACAUCUUGGCAAAGAGCUGCUACAGCCUGAGGGCUGUGUGCCUCAGCUCCACUUUAAAUCUUUGGGUCUGGUCCAGCAUUGGGCUGGACACUGCCAGAUCAGUGUCACUCAAGGCUGAAGUUCUUCCAUACCUUCAUGAAAAGGCAGUAUUUUGGGUCAUAGCAAUGCUAGACUUUUCACACAUCUCAGCAGACAGUGCUGUACCGAAGGAGUUAUGUCUUCCCUGACAAAAUGUUUCAACCACUGGGUCAUAUAGAUUGAUCCAAAGAGUCAAGAGCCUCAAUUCUUCAGUUAGACUGAGCAGUCCAAGUCCACUAAUUUAUUUGAUGUUACACCUCUAUAAAGAGCUGCCUAGCACAGAUCAAGAUCAAGAGGCAAUACAGGUUCAACAAAACAUGGAACUAGAUUCCAGACUACUCAAACCAGUCGAAGCAAGUCAAGUGUCUUGCCUAAGCCCAGCCUGUAGUGUCCUCCUCCCUUGCUAAAAGGCUCCUCAGUGCUGUAAUUUGGCAGUCAGCAGGCUAUAGCACUGAGAAUUUCAAAUUAAAAGAUCAUCUCAACCUUAAAAUGUCAACAAAACACCUGCUCUUCCAGUAUCAGGAGGCCACUGAUGAACCACAAAUGCCAUUUUUAAUUAUGUACAGAUUACUAUAUGGAAAGUUUAAACCACCUAUGUCCGUUUUUUUGGUGUAAACUUAUAAAGCAGCGAGAGCUUAGUCUGCCAAAACACUUAGACAAUGCCCUUCAAGACAGGUUACUGGUAAUACUCAACAGCACAGACCCAGCAGUGCCCUGCUGUCUUUCCUGUGACAAGCAGAGUAUUGAUCCCCAACAGCUCCACUGCCUCAGUCAGCUCUCUUUUAGAUGUAUGGCAUUUUGAAAAGCAGUAACUAACACCUGAUCAAAACUAGAUAGUUUAUUUUCUCUGACAAUUCCUUCUAAUACCAUUCACAGGAUGGAAAUGCUUGUGGCACAGGAUCCUCAAUAAGUGCUGCAUACAGAAGAAGUAUUUAGUUCCAAUGAGCCUGUCUGUGUCCCUUAGGUUCUACCUGACUUUUGUUGAUCAAGUGGUCCAAUGCUUGAACUGUUCUUACAGGCUUUGCUUUCAAUAAUGCAAAACAAAACAAAACACCGUUUUAUUGAAAGCAAACAGUAAACUCAAGCUAUGGCUUGGGGUUGGUUUUCAGGAAGCAGAAGAGUAAUGCAGCAGUGGUAGAGGUUAGAGAGAGAGAUCAGUUUAUUCCACCCAUGGAGAUUUUGAGCAGCUCUCUGACCUGAUCCUGAGUUGAUGAUGGUUCUGUUUCAAGUGAAAAGCCACAGUAAAAAAAUGUCCAUAAAUAACUAAAUAAAUAAUGUAGUGUGUGUCCUUUUUGCUACAUUCUUAGGAUCACUGAAAUUACCAUUCUGAUUUGAAAAAGAAAAGCAGUUGUUAAGCCUGGAUACUUAAACUGAACAAAAGCAUUUUUCCAGUAGUGACUAACAAAAAAGGAAGAACAAAUAUAGAUUUUAAUACUGGUAUAUUAAAAUGAAAAUUUACAUGGCCACAGAGAGCUACACUGAGAAUGCCUCCCUCCUCACCAGCCCACAGAGGUUUGCACAUAUGUUAGCCCACUUUGCAUUGUUUGGAAACUUUAUCACAACAUUUGCAAAAAGUGAUUUGUGUUUUGGGACAGUAAUUCAUUUUUUAGAAACUUUCUUUUUAUUCACUGCUAGAGGUGGGCUGAAGCCAGUUGUGCCUGAAAUGAAACCAAAAGCCUCAUGAGCAGAUGGCCUAGCAUGUUCAGCAAAAGGGCUAUGUGGAAAUGUGAUGUAUUCUUCACUAAUGAAGAACCUUGAGGACUAUCCUCUCUGUUUACCAUCAGCCUCUGAAUGUGUAUCAUUCCCUUAUUCUCACAGGCACUGGUGCAGAUGAAAUAUAAGAAGUGGGAGUAGAACUACGAUUUUAAAAUCUCUUUUUUUUGUUCUAUAUUAAUUAUAUUACAUUAUAUUUGUUUUGUUGUUGUUGUUGUUUUCUUAAUACCUAGCAGCACAAGUAUUUCUAAGGGUUGACUUGCCUAUAUAUGUCUAUAUGUGCCUAUAUAUAUAUGUCUAUACAUGCCCAUAUAUUCCAGUUCAUAUUCCUAUGAAUUGGAAUAUAUCUGCAUAUAUAAAUUGAAACUGCACUAAAUGGACAUUAUUAUAUCCCUUUCAGUGUCUUUAGUGUAGGCUACCUCACCUGAUUUUCCUCCCAAUUUAUUCAGUGUAGGAUGGAGGAAGAGAAGGAGACACAGUUCCUACGUGCUAGCAGCCAUUCUCAAUGCUAAAGCUUCCUUCUUCAUCCACUCCUCUCCUCUGGUUAAUGUAACAUUUGCCUGGCUUCCAGUGUUAGAUCUCAGAUCUCACAUCAUCAUCUGCCUUUUCAACACAGCCUAUUGUGUUCAAGAUCAGGACACUUAAGUGUGUUUUAAUGGACAAAGGUGAAUAUGUAGGUGUCUACAGAUAAGGUGGAUAGUUAAAUUCCCUAUGGUAAAUGGUGACAACUAUCCCUGAAUGGACAGGCACUAGCAUCGUUAGUUCUGGGCUCCACUCAGCAUAGCUCUUCAGUAAGCAUCAAGUGGACACCGAAAAGCAGAUGUAAAUGCAUGCAAAAUAAGUUUAAGGUGUUUAAGUAUGGAACUAAAUCCCACCUUGGUUGAUUGCUAGCAGUAUUUUUCCCUUCUCCCCAAAAUUGUCACUCAGUCUUUUUGUGUUUCCAUUUCACUUGUUUACCUGCUCCCCUUGCUCCUAUGUGUCUUGUUUAAUUCCUUGUUUUGUUGUCUUAUAUAAUCAUUUGUUCUGGAACAAUGUGUUCAAAAUCUGCUCUUGAACAAGACAACCUUUGUUCGUACCUGGUUGAACUGUCACUCUGAUAAAGUGCCUUCCUCCUCCUGACAGUAAGUUUGACACAAAUGAUUUAUCCUUUCACCCCAGCUUCAUAUUGUUUGUACAUAUUUAAUGUACAAACAUCCCUGCUUGUUUGUUUGCUUGUUUUAUGAGGGAGGGAGAUUUGGCAUUAAAAUUUGGUUCUGUUAAAGAAAAGCGAAUUUUUAAUAAGUGAUUAAUAUUUUAGUUAUCAGUUUCUAAACCAACACUGCCUACAGUCUUGUUAAUAUGCCUGAUCCUCAAGCAUGCUAAUUUUUAAACCCUUUACAAUCAAAGGGAGUGGUCGAAGUUUAAUUUUUGUGAAGUUUAAUUUUCCUCCAUGGUGGCUUGUGACUAUAUGAACAACACAAAAACAGUGAAACAGAAUCUGUGUGCAAUGCAGAAGUAACGACGAUAACACUCAAGAAUUCUCACAUUGCCCCAGUUGUAGCUCUCCAAGCAAAUAUGAGAAGAUUAGCUCACAUACAACAAAACUAUACACUGUAUUCUAAGCAUCGUUUUGAAAUGAUUUAAUCUGCUUUACUCCAGCCUAACUGAGAUCAGGAUAUGCCUGUAUGAUCAAUACAGUAGGCAUGUUGACCUAAACCUUCUGGAAAUAAAUAAAUACUGUCAGGAAGAGUCCUCUUGCAAGGAAACAGACAAAACCACCUGACUUUAAACAGACUUUUAAAAAACACAUCUCUUAUGAAAGCUCUUGGGAGCAGGAGUACUUUUCAAUCUCCCGGGGCAUAGCAAGCAAAGCAAGGUAAAUUAUCUUGACACCAAGUCCUCGAGCAGCAGAUCUUUUGGGGAAUGAACAAAGUGCUCUGUAGAGCCAGCCUGGCUUAUCAUCAGAGUCAUCUGUAUCCUUGAAAAGUACAGCUGGGGUUAGGGAAGCUGCAGAUAACACUUAUGUUAGACUGACAUUCUUCUCCAAGCAAAGGAAUCAUCAUGACUUCAGUUUCAGGCUAAGUAUUUUUUGUGUUCUUUGCUCCCAAGGGGAAUUUCUAUCAUAACCAAUUGAUUUGCAUGGAGCUUAUUGUUAGAUAGAAGACUGUUGGUUUGUUUUUCUCUUUUAGUUAUUUUUUUCAUUAAAAAAGACAGAAAAGUACUUGAAAAAAUUCCAUGCUUUUCAAGAAUGUUCCUUAUUACAGCAACCCUGUGUGAGUUAUUUCUAGCAAUACUGAACUUUGGACUGGGAAUCUUUAUCAUAUUAAAUAGUUACUAUGUUGUGCAAGUAAAUAUAUACAAAUGAAUGUGUACAAAUUUCAAAAAAUAUUUCUUUCCACUGUUUUGGUAAUUUCAUGUAAUUAUUGACACUUCAGGAGUCAUGCAAUUUAAUGCAAAUAAUACUCAGCUGACUAGUCUGCCAAGAUAAAUAAGUAUGUAUUGCAAAAAAAGAACAAAGACUAUAUUUUUUUUUUCUCCUGGUUUUCUGAUUCCUCAUUAAAUAGUAAGUUACUUUUGACAGCUGUUCAUUUUUAAUUUUGGCCAUAUGGAGGCAUAGCGGAAGGAUGUUUCCAACAUUCUACCUAUCCAGGAUUACUCAAAAUGAGGGAAGCAAAUGUUAAGUUCACAAAACCAUACAGAAAUGAAUUUUUCUUUUUUUUUUUUCCCCCAGAAAAAAUCAAAAAGACAAUUUCCAAAAUGUAUCAACUGAAAUUCUCAUAAAACUUGACCAGACCCUGCUAAGUGACUAGAAACAGGAAAAACUGUUGCAAUCCUGUGAUGAAUCAGUAGGAUUUUGAGAGAGAAGUUCACCUGUUUUCCAAAAGAGAAAGGAGAAGACACAUGGCUCCACCAAUACUUUCAGGCUGGUAUUCCUGAAAGAAGCAAUUCAAAAGCUAACAUUUAAUCUGUUUAUUUACUACAUGCCAGAGUUGGUUUUCUCAGUUGGUUGUUAAACAAAACAGCUGUCUACUACACAUCUGUUUACAAAACAUAUUACCAGAUUGUGCAAUGAAAGGUUAGGUAACUGUUUUAAUUUGAAAUUAGGUGGUGCAGCAAUCUUAGAUCCAGUAUCUGUCCCUGAAUCUUUGCUUUGCUGUGGAACAGCGUUGACCAACUAACCUUCAGUAUCUUCCUACUGUCCUGCUUAAUGAUCUAGACCACGUGGCAGCAGCCUUUGGUCACAUCGUUUGAAGCUUGGGGAGACCAGUAAUGAAAGGACUGGUCAAUGGAAGAUUUAUCCUUAUUUAUCAAAUUAUUGCAAAUAUAUUGAUUAUCUGUGUAUGUAUUUUAUUAAUCAUGAUUGAGAUUAAACAUGGGAUUCAAAGACCAUUGACAAGAGGAACAUUGUUGUACACAAUCUAAGCCUCUUCUUUCAUCAUGGACUGAGGUGGGGUAAUUAAUCUUUCCUUUGUCAUGGGCUAAGCAUGUAUUCACAGAUAGAUAUCACCUUUCAGCUCAUAUGAGAUAAAUAAAAAAGAUGAAAGAAUCUCACAAAAUGUCUGAGCCCUGAGUUCUGAUUUGAUCCUAGCUUCUAUUUGUAUAGCUUCUCACUGCCUUCUUUCAUUUUCUCCACACUUUUGCAUGGGUUGAAAAUUUCGUCACUUGUGAAAGAUAUUCUGCUGAAAAAUACUUGCAAAAUCUUUGAAGAUGUAAUGAACUGUUCCAUUAAGUGAAUGACCCAACCCUAUUUGAACAAAAGCCUAUCUGAUUGCUUUCUUUUGGAUGGUUGUGUUGUGAAACCCUAAAAAAACCCUGUCAUUAAAAAGCUCUCAGCAGCUGUUCUCUGAAAAUCACAGUCACUGAAGACAGUUGCAAUACCAGUUAUGUUCAGGUGGUUGUCAAAGCAGAUCUGACAGAACUUACUGGAGGCAACAAGAAGUAGUGACUUUCAAAAACAAAACAAAACAAAAAAAAUAUAAAGGAGAAAACAAAACAAGAGAUAGUAAGAGAUAAUAAAAGAUAAUAAGAGAUAAGAACAGCUAAUCUGCUGUAAGUAAACUCUUUCUCUCAGUUGAUCUGGACAUCUUGAAAUGUGCACUGAGAUAUAUAAUCAAACCAGAAUGGCUGUUGCUGGGACAAAGUUUCUGGCUGUGUAUGAUAACAAUUAUUUUUUAAGUAUGAAACUCACUCUUUUAUGUCAUGAAAAAUUCCCACAGCUUCUCAUUUCUCAAGGGGAAUUCCAAGCACACCAAGUGAAAAUUGUUUAAAGGAACAUCUGUUUUGAUUAUAUGACAACAUCUUAAUAGAAACACAAUGUGCCUGUAUAUAUUUCUGUGCUUUCACCCAUUAAUUACAGAGAAUAUUAAGGUUCUAUUUUACUGUGCUUAAAACAUCUGGUGCUGAAAGAAGCAGCAAGGAGAAGGGAAGCAUGGUUGUAUUAUUAGACUCAACAAUCCUAUAAUACUGAUCAGCACUCAUUACUGUCUGUUGUUUCCAUAUUAAGUUAGUAUUUAAUGUGCAAUUCGUUGAAUAUGCAUAUAUUUAAUGAAGCAUAUAUUUAAAAUAAAUAUAUGUGUUCUAACCUAA